CGGGACCUAAGCCGAGGCCGAUAGGCGUAGGCGAUGGACAACAGGUAGAGAUUCCUGUACCAGUGCUAAUUGUUUAACCGAUGGGGUGACACAGAAGGAUAGGGAAUCGCACGAAUGGAAAUGUGCGUCCAAGCAGUGAGUGUGAGAAGUAGGCAAAUCCGCUUCUCGCGAAGCAUGAGCUGUGAUGGGGAAGGAAAUUAAGUACGGAAGUUCCUGAUUUCACGCUGUCAAGAAAAGCCUCUAGGAAGAGUAGUACUGCCCGUACCGCAAACCGACACAGGUAGAUGAGGAGAGAAUCCUAAGGUGAGCGAGAGAACUCUCGUUAAGGAACUCGGCAAAAUGACCCCGUAACUUCGGGAGAAGGGGUGCUCUAUUAGGGUGCAAGCCCGAGAGAGCCGCAGUGAAUAGGCCCAGGCGACUGUUUAGCAAAAACACAGGUCUCUGCAAAACCGUAAGGUGACGUAUAGGGGCUGACGCCUGCCCGGUGCUGGAAGGUUAAGAGGAGUGCUUAGCUUCGGCGAAGGUACGAAUUGAAGCCCCAGUAAACGGCGGCCGUAACUAUAACGGUCCUAAGGUAGCGAAAUUCCUUGUCGGGUAAGUUCCG
rnacentral:rRNA from 1 species